UAUAGUGCUCACUUUAGGUAGCACAAAUUGGAAUGAUGCACAGAGAUUAGUAUGUCCCCUGCAUAAGGAGGACAUGCAAAUUCAUAAAGCAUUCCAUCUCUUC